AGGGCCAGAGGAGCUCCAGCCGGGGUGGGGGGUGGGCGCCUGUGCACGAUCUUCGCGGCCCCCCUCCCCGGCCUGGCCCCUUGUGCGCGCCGCCCCUCGGCGCGCUACCCCCCGGCUGCCAGCCAGCCUGCCCCUCGGGGCCGCCUGGAGGGAGCGCCUUGCCCGGGCCCGCGCGGCAGCCUUCUCGGCACAGCCCCUCGAAUCGCGCUCAAGGUGUUGGUGGGCGCGCGUUCCACGCUGGUGUCUGCCUGAUGCGACUGAAGCAGACAUCUGGGAUAAAGGGACCUGGAGAGAAAGAGAGGAAAGAUGAGGAAAUUGAAUCUUAAAGAGGUUGAGUAAUUUUCCCAAGACCAUAAGAUUUAAAGGCUUACGCAAUGGAAUCCAGUUUGAAAACAGCACUUGAACAAGUCAGAAACAACAAUCAUCAUGUUUUAACUGUAACUGACAAAAUCUAGAAGAGGAAAAGCUGCAUCCCUGGGAACCACAAUAGUGGAA